rnacentral:rRNA from 1 species
UACGGAGGAUCCGAGCGUUAUCCGGAUUUAUUGGGUUUAAAGGGUGCGUAGGCGGCCUAUUAAGUCAGGGGUGAAAGACGGUAGCUUAACUAUCGCAGUGCCUUUGAUACUGAUAGGCUUGAAUGUACUUGAGGUAGGCGGAAUGUGACAAGUAGCGGUGAAAUGCGUAGAUAUGUCACAGAACACCAAUUGCGAAGGCAGCUUACUAAAGUAUGAUUGACGCUGAGGCACGAAAGCGUGGGGAUCAAACAGG